UACGAAGGGGGCUAGCGUUGCUCGGAAUCACUGGGCGUAAAGCGCACGUAGGCGGCUUCUUAAGUCAGGGGUGAAAUCCUGGAGCUCAACUCCAGAACUGCCUUUGAUACUGAGGAGCUUGAGUCCGGGAGAGGUGAGUGGAAUUCCCAGUGUAGCGGUGAAAUGCGUAGAUAUUGGGAGGAACACCAGUGGCGAAGGCGGCUCACUGGACUGGUACUGACGCUGAUGCGCGAAAGCGUGGGGAGCAAACAGG
rnacentral:rRNA from 1 species